CCCCCCCCCCACUUUAUCUCUUCCUCCUUUUUUCAGCUAGGGUCUCAACACCCAUCAUCACCGGCGGUUCACCGUGCCGAACGGAGAGGGGAGCGGCCACAGGGUAGAUCCCGUAAGACUCUCUUCUUCCUUGAUUCUUUUUUGUUUUAAAGUAAGUUAAUGAAAUAAAAAAAUAAAACAAAGCAAAGAUAAAUAGAAAGAUUGAGAUAACUGAGGAAAAAAAAUUGAAGUUAACCUUCUAAGCUUUUCUUUUUUCUUUUGUUUUUGAUACAAACUUUUUGUAUUUCGAAAGAACACCCCACAUUUUCGAUUGAGGCUUCUUAUAGUCGAAUACCAAGAAAAUUUCUAUUGUUUGUUGCGUUUUUCUCUGUUCGUUGUAGUUGUGUCUCGUUUUGCAGGCGGUGUCAGACGCAUGGAGGAGAAGGGCAUGCGCGGGGUGUGGUGGUGGUAGUGCGCAAGGUGGCCCAUGGUUGGCCUAGCGUGCGGCGGCUGGAGGCUUGGGGAGCUGCUAGGGUUUUCUUUUUUUUUUUUGGAAAAUGUUUAGUGGGCUAGGUUGAUUUGGGCCUGUUGGACUAGUCUUUUAGUUUUGUACUUUGCACUUUAUUUAUUUGGUUUAUUGGGUUUUGUUAUUUUUUAUUUGUCUGUGCCAAAAAUUGGCCAUCACACAAACAAUAUAACAUAAGCCGACCCAACAAGGAUAAUGAUUAGAUAAAAAAGUAACACAAUUUGUCAAAAGUGGAACUUGAACCCAAGACCUCAUACACAUAUCUAGAACACUUAGUCAUUGAAGCAA
rnacentral:lncRNA from 1 species